rnacentral:rRNA from 1 species
GAGUUUGAUCAUGGCUCAGGACGAACGCUGGCGGCGUGCCUAACACAUGCAAGUCGAACGGAGAACUCGAAAAGCUUGCUUUGAGAGUUCUUAGUGGCGGACGGGUGAGUAACGCGUGGGCAACCUCCCCCUUAAACCGGGACAACCCUUGGAAACGAGGGCUAAUACCGGAUACGCUUUUCUGAGGACAUCCUCGGGAAAGGAAAGGCGGCCUCUGAAGAUGCUGCCGAUAAGGGAUGGACCCGCGUCUGAUUAGCUGGUUGGUGGGGUAAAGGCCUACCAAGGCGACGAUCAGUAGCCGGCCUGAGAGGGUGAACGGCCACACUGGGACUGAGACACGGCCCAGACUCCUACGGGAGGCAGCAGUGGGGGAAUCUUCCGCAAUGGACGAAAGUCUGACGGAGCAACGCCGCGUGUAUGACGAAGGCCUUCGG